rnacentral:rRNA from 1 species
AGAGUUUGAUCAUGGCUCAGAAUCAACGCUGGCGGCGUGCCUAACACAUGCAAGUCGAACGAGAAAGUGGAGCAAUCCAUGAGUAAAGUGGCGCACGGGUGAGUAACACGUGACUAACCUACCCUGGAGUGGGGGAUAACUGAGGGAAACCUUAGCUAAUACCGCAUAAUACCUACGGGUCAAAGGAGCAAUUCGCUUCAGGAGGGGGUCGCGGCCGAUUAGUUAGUUGGCGGGGUAAUGGCCCACCAAGACAGUGAUCGGUAUCCGGCCUGAGAGGGCGCACGGACACACUGGAACUGAAACACGGUCCAGACUCCUACGGGAGGCAGCAGUGGGGAAUUUUGCGCAAUGGGGGAAACCCUGACGCAGCAACGCCGCGUGGAGGAUGAAGUCCUUCGGGACGUAAACUCCUUUCGAUCGGGACGAUUAUGACGGUACCGGAAGAAGAAGCCCCGGCUAACUUCGUGCCAGCAGCCGCGGUAAUACGAGGGGGGCGAGCGUUGUUCGGAAUUAUUGGGCGUAAAGGGUGCGUAGGCGGUUUUGUAAGUCUUAUGUGAAAUCUAUGGGCUCAACUCAUAGACUGCAUGAGAAACUGCAGGGCUUGAGUAUGGGAGAGGUGAGUGGAAUUCCUGGUGUAGCGGUGAAAUGCGUAGAUAUCAGGAGGAACACCUGUGGCGAAAGCGGCUCACUGGACCAUAACUGACGCUGAUGCACGAAAGCUAGGGGAGCAAACAGGAUUAGAUACCCCAGUAGUCC